AGUGAACGCUGGCGGUAGGCCUAACACAUGCAAGUCGAACGGCAGCACAGUAAGCGCUUGCUCUUACGGGUGGCGAGUGGCGGGCGGGUGAGGAAUACAUCGGAAUCUACUUUUUCGUGGGGGAUAACGUAGGGAAACUUACGCUAAUACCGCAUACGACCUACGGGUGAAAGCAGGGGAUCUUCGCACCUUGCGCGAUUGAAUGAGCCGAUGUCGGAUUAGCUAGUUGGCGGGGUAAAGGCCCACCAAGGCGACGAUCCGUAGCUGGUCUGAGAGGAUGAUCAGCCACACUGGAACUGAGACACGGUCCAGACUCCUACGGGAGGCAGCAGUGGGGAAUAUUGGACAAUGGGCGCAAGCCUGAUCCAGCCAUACCGCGUGGGUGAAGAAGGCCUUCGGGUUGUAAAGCCCUGUUGUUGGGAAAGAAAAGCAGCAGGUUAAUACCCCGCUGUUCUGACGGUACCCAAAGAAUAAGCACCGGCUAACUUCGUG
rnacentral:rRNA from 1 species